AAUUUGAUAGUGGACAUCUGCCAAGGCCAGCUUGUUUUAGUGACGCUCCUUGCACAAAACCCCCCAGGAACCUAGUGUCGUCGAGCUAGAAUCGUAACUUUCUGUCUCUCCUCGUGAUAUCACAACUUCCCGGUGGUGAUGUGCAUGUCAACAAGAAACUCAGCAGAGCUGGCGAUAGCUAAUAAGAUAAGUACCUGAAACAGCUGAAGCAAACAACGGGGCCAUGGCAUAGGAGCGCCUCGUAAUGACCGCUUCCAUUGGAGCGCCUCGUAAUGGUCGCUUCCAUCGGGGACAGUUUGUAUUGCGAAAACUAGCAGCAGCCGCAUUCAUCAAUUAUCCACUAUAUUAACCUAUUUGUGCUGGUUAGCUGAGCAUAAAAUUAUGGAGUUGCACAUAAGAAUUAUCGAUGGGUUAGCUGUCCACGUUGGUUACUGGUUAGUUUAUUGGCAAGUCCAGUCAGCUUAACUUAAAAAAGGCCAAGUAGCUGGAUCAGAACUGCUUUAUUGCCUUGUUGAGCUGCUGCUUUGGUGAUUUCUGCCUCUCAUUGGCUUGCAGCACAACAAUAUUAGCUCAUACUAUCUGCCUCUCCUGCAACCUGCGCUGGCUUCUCACUUCUUCAUCCGUGCUUUUCAUCCAUCACUGUCCAGAAACAAUUCCAACAGGUUACCCCACUCGAUCCGCCUCCAGAGCCGGCUGCUACUCGUAGGCGCUGACGGGUUCCCUUGUCUGACAUAUAUCAUUCACGUGGUGUUUCCAGACGCCGGGUGAAAUCGUGUCCAGGCAGGAGCUAUGCCCAAUGCUGAACGAACGAGCUGUGCUCAGUCUGCGGGUUACAAAUGAGGAAGCAGCUGGCAACCUGGGCUUGGCUAACCUGCCAUCCCUUCGGGAUGUCUAUGUCCUCUUGGGUCUCUAUGGAGUGACGGUCGGGCAGGCCAAGCAAGCGGAGGCUGCGCUGGGGAAAGCACUCCGUGGCCACUCUAACAGUCCCACCUUUGAAAUCGAAUUCCAACCGUACAUGCCAGAGGACGCUUGUGAUGACUACGUCCCCUUCCCGGACGAUGAGUCGGAGUGAAGAACCUGCAGAUAACUGAAGAGAGGGACCGGACGGUGGUGGUGAUGUACGAGUUCAUCAAGAAGCAUGUGCAUCCCUUUCAAGCUGAAGCGCCGAGAGUCAUCGGCCACACAAACCGAGAGCUCGGAAUGCUCUGGUACAAACCUGAAGCGACGUGUUUUGAGGUUCUGUGGUCGCAAGUUCGUUUCCACGGAAAGCAUGAGGUGGGGAAGGAAUAGUUAGGUGUUAGUUUUGGGCAGUUCUGAGGUGUCCAUCGCUAGAUGCUGGAGUUACUUGCCCACUGAAAAUGUGUACAUCCAUCCAUGGUUUGUGAAUUAGCAGUUAACAAGAUCAGGCUUGACUUUGAGCUGGGUGAUUAAGGAAGCUUGCAACCUUUCUGUUCUUCCUUCUUAUCACAAAGUAGAAUAGCAGCUGGCUUGCCUGCCUUAUUCUUGUUGUUUGUAUGUGAAGUGUGAAUCCAUUUGUGGAUCACAAUGAUCAGCUGUUCAUGAUUGUGUAUGAUCAUCUCAGCUGCUUGAAUCAAUAUGGUUUUUCCA